GGCUGGUUCGAAGGUAGUGAGUUAUCUCAAUUGACUGUUCACAGUCAGCUACAGAUCAAACUCCUUGUUCUAUUCCUUCUCACCUUCUCACUAUAGCUCUUUAGUCUUAA
rnacentral:Y_RNA from 1 species